rnacentral:rRNA from 1 species
GUACACAAAAAUGCACAUACUGUGAGCUCGAUGAGUAGGGCGGGACACGUGGUAUCCUGUCUGAAUAUGGGGGGACCAUCCUCCAAGGCUAAAUACUCCUGACUGACCGAUAGUGAACCAGUACCGUGAGGGAAAGGCGAAAAGAACCCCGGCGAGGGGAGUGAAAAAGAACCUGAAACCGUGUACGUACAAGCAGUGGGAGCCUCUUAAUGGGGUGACUGCGUACCUUUUGUAUAAUGGGUCAGCGACUUAUAUUCUGUAGCAAGGUUAACCGAAUAGGGGAGCCGAAGGGAAACCGAGUCUUAACUGGGCGUUAAGUUGCAGGGUAUAGACCCGAAACCCGGUGAUCUAGCCAUGGGCAGGUUGAAGGUUGGGUAACACUAACUGGAGGACCGAACCGACUAAUGUUGAAAAAUUAGCGGAUGACUUGUGGCUGGGGGUGAAAGGCCAAUCAAACCGGGAGAUAGCUGGUUCUCCCCGAAAGCUAUUUAGGUAGCGCCUCGUGAAUUCAUCUCCGGGGGUAGAGCACUGUUUCGGCAAGGGGGUCAUCCCGACUUACCAACCCGAUGCAAACUGCGAAUACCGGAGAAUGUUAUCACGGGAGACACACGGCGGGUGCUAACGUCCGUCGUGAAGA